rnacentral:tRNA from 1 species
GAGCGUGUAGUUCAGUGGUAGAACGCUGUCCUGAUAAGACAGAGGUCGAUGGUCCGAUUCCAUCCACGCUCACCA